UACAGAGGUCCCGAGCGUUGUUCGGAUUCACUGGGCGUAAAGCGUGCGCAGGCGGUUUUGUAAGUCUGUCGUGAAAGCCCCGGGCUCAACCUGGGAAUUGCGAUGGAGACUGCAAGGCUUGAAUCUGGCAGAGGGGGGUAGAAUUCCACGUGUAGCAGUGAAAUGCGUAGAGAUGUGGAGGAACACCGAUGGCGAAGGCAGCCCCCUGGGUCAAGAUUGACGCUCAUGCACGAAAGCGUGGGGAGCAAACAGG
rnacentral:rRNA from 1 species